rnacentral:misc_RNA from 1 species
UACGGAGGGGGCUAGCGUUGUUCGGAUUUACUGGGCGUAAAGCGCACGUAGGCGGUUCAUCAAGUUAGGCGUGAAAGGCCUGGGCUUAACCCGGGAACUGCGUUUAAUACUGAUGGACUAGAGUCCGGGAGAGGGUGGCGGAAUUCCCAGUGUAGAGGUGAAAUUCGUAGAUAUUGGGAAGAACACCGGUGGCGAAGGCGGCCACCUGGUCCGGUACUGACGCUCAGGUGCGAAAGCGUGGGGAGCAAACAGG